CGUCUUCGGGUAACGAGGCCCAUCAACGACAUCAUCUAAGUGGACUAGUUAUGUUUUUGGUUGAUUCGGGUUGUCUCCACUUUCCUUUAUUGAUGAUGGGUUAGGGAUCAUCUUCUUUUUAUUGUCGGUUUGUGCCUGGUUGCAGCGGUAGUUUUCGGUGGUCGUUGCUUCUGCUGGUUUUAGAUAUGGUUGUCAGAUUAGUUUCGGCUGCUCUUUGGAAUGAUGGGUCUCUCUCUGCGUUAGCCGGUUGAGGGUUUGGAGGUUGCGAGUUCUGAGAUAUCUCUAUUUUCCUAAGGGUGAGUCUUUAAUUUGUUCUCUCUCAGAGAUGUUCGAGUUUGUGUUGAUUAGUGUUGUAGCUUCGCCGGAUUAAGAAAGAGCAUCUUGCCUUCGUUGGUGGUAUGCUUUUGUGACAUCUGCUGAGUGAGAUGCUUCGUUGUCGAAACCUUCUGCUCCAUUGGACUUCAGCAUUCUAAUCUUAUGUUUUGUUUAAAAGAUGAUGUUUCUCUAACUAGCUGCUUUGUUCUGUAAUUUAAUCAUUUUGUUUACCUUGUUUUCCAUAUGUGGACUUAGACUCGGGGGAUAUUUAUGUUUCUAUAUGCUUAAUGUCUGUA